rnacentral:rRNA from 1 species
GAUGAACGCUAGCUACAGGCUUAACACAUGCAAGUCGAGGGGCAUCAGGAAGAAAGCUUGCUUUCUUUGCUGGCGACCGGCGCACGGGUGAGUAACACGUAUCCAACCUGCCCUUUACUCGGGGAUAGCCUUUCGAAAGAAAGAUUAAUACCCGAUAGCAUAAUGAUUCCGCAUGGUUUCAUUAUUAAAGGAUUCCGGUAAAGGAUGGGGAUGCGUUCCAUUAAGUUGUUGGUGAGGUAACGGCUCACCAAGCCUUCGAUGGAUAGGGGUUCUGAGAGGAAGGUCCCCCACAUUGGAACUGAGACACGGUCCAAACUCCUACGGGAGGCAGCAGUGAGGAAUAUUGGUCAAUGGGCGCUAGCCUGAACCAGCCAAGUAGCGUGAAGGAUGAAGGCUCUAUGGGUCGUAAACUUCUUUUAUAUAAGAAUAAAGUGCAGUAUGUAUACUGUUUUGUAUGUAUUAUAUGAAUAAGGAUCGGCUAACUCCGUGCCAGCAGCCGCGGUAAUACGGAGGAUCCGAGCGUUAUCCGGAUUUAUUGGGU